rnacentral:rRNA from 1 species
UACGAGUGCCCCAAGCGUUAUCCGGAAUUAUUGGGCGUAAAGGGUGUGUAGGCGGUUUUGUUAGUCUUGUGUUAAAGCUCUCGGCUCAACCGGGAAAGUGCAUGAGAUACGGCAAAACUAGAGGAUGCGAGAGGUAUGCGGAACUCAUAGUGUAGGGGUGAAAUCCGUUGAUAUUAUGGGGAACACCAAAAGCGAAGGCAGCAUACUGGCGCACUCCUGACGUUGAGACACGAAAGCGUGGGUAGCGAAUGGG